rnacentral:lncRNA from 1 species
CCACCAAUCCCGUGUUGGAGGAAAGGCUAUAAAAGGGAUUCACUCACCUCAUUAGAGAAUUAUAGUCCAGUGAUAUUAAAAUGACGGUGGUCUAAAAUGCCAAUUACUCAUUAUUUCUUGCAAAUCUUCUGUCUCACAAAUCAAAUUUGGGUUUGCCAAUUAGGUUUUACUUAGCUUCCUCUGGUGUGAUGAAAGACAGCUUCUACUGUGACCAGCUGCCUAUGGAGGAUGAAAAGCCUGGAAAGCCAAGAAUAAAUUAGCUUUUGACCAAUGAAACAAUAUACACUGCGAAAUGUAAAUCAGUGAGGAGGCUGGGCUAAGUUUCCAGAGGACACCUGGGGAUGGCUGGCCCCUCUGCCCAGCCUUGCAGCGCCUCCCUCCACCUCCUGAGAACUCUGUGCAAGGCAGGUCCGCUCUCUUCUGAUGAUGCACAAAGGAAGGUACUUAUGGGUUCUAUAUGGCUUCACACGGGUCAAACGCUAGGAACCCAGGCAUAUGUCCCCUCUGUGGCAAAGCAAAGCAGAAAUUUGAAUCAAUUUGCC